UACGUAGGUGGCUAGCGUUGUCCGGAAUUAUUGGGCGUAAAGCGCGCGCAGGUGGUUUCUUAAGUCUGAUGUGAAAGCCCACGGCUCAACCGUGGAGGGUCAUUGGAAACUGGGGAACUUGAGUGCAGAAGAGGAAAGUGGAAUUCCAAGUGUAGCGGUGAAAUGCGUAGAGAUUUGGAGGAACACCAGUGGCGAAGGCGACUUUCUGGUCUGUAACUGACACUGAGGCGCGAAAGCGUGGGGAGCGAACAGG
rnacentral:rRNA from 1 species